rnacentral:rRNA from 1 species
AGCAGCCGCCACGGGAAUACGUAGGGGGCAAGCGUUAUCCGGAAUAACUGGGCGUAAAGGGUGCGCAGGUGGUUUAACAAGUUAGUGGUGAAAGGCAUAGGCUCAACCAAUGUAAGCCAUUAAAACUGUUUAACUUGAGUGCAGGAGAGGAAAGUGGAAUUCCUAGUGUAGCGGUGAAAUGCGUAGAUAUUAGGAGGAAUACCAGUGGCGAAGGCGACUUUCUGGACUGCAACUGACACUGAGGCACGAAAGCGUGGGGAGCAAACAGGAUUAGAUACCCCCGUAGUCCCUGUCUCUUAUACC